GCUAUGAAGACACACACAUGAAAAAACAGCCAGGUGAAGAUGGAGGCAGAGAUUAUGCUGCUACAAGCCAAGGAAAGCUGGGGGCUACCAGAAAUAAGGAAGAGUCUAUAAUACGGGGAAUGGCCUGAAAAAGGGGACAAGUGCUGAAUUUCUGGUAACCAGUCUUCCACUAGAGGCUUUGGUGGGAACAUGGCCCUACUGACAGCUUGAUUUCUGAUUCUAGCCAACAGAACUGUGAGAAAAUAAAUUUAUGUUCUGUUCUAAACCA